GUCAGCGUAGCAAAACGUUAAUGUCCCAUCGCGACGUGACGUCCUCGGGGAGUGGGCGUUGCGCUGGGCCUCUUCGGAGGUGCGGGUUCGACUCCCGCCGCUGGCA
rnacentral:tRNA from 2 species